GCUUGUCUCAAAGAUUAAGCCAUGCAUGUCUAAGAAUAAGCCCUUGAAUGGUGAAUCUGCGAAUGGCUCAUUAAAUCAGUUAUUGUUUAUUUGAUGGUACCUUACUACUUGGAUAACCGUAGUAAUUCUAGAGCUAAUACAUGCGUCAAGCCCCGACUUCGGAAGGGGUGCAUUUAUUAGAUGGAAACCAAUGCGGGGCAACCCGGUAUAUGGUGAUUCAUAAUAACUUUCGGAUCGAUUUAUCGAUGCAUCAUUCAAGUUUCUGCCCUAUCAGCUUUGGAUGGUAGGGUAUUGGCCUACCAUGGCUUUAACGGGUAACGGAGAAUUAGGGUUCGAUUCCGGAGAGGGAGCCUGAGAAAUGGCUACCACAUCCAAGGAAGGCAGCAGG
rnacentral:rRNA from 1 species